UACGUAGGGGGCUAGCGUUGCUCGGAAUUACUGGGCGUAAAGGGCGCGUAGGCGGCUGUUUAAGUCGGGGGUGAAAGCCCGGGGCUCAACCCCGGAAUUGCCUUCGAUACUGGACAUCUUGAGUACGGGAGAGGUGAGUGGAACUCCGAGUGUAGAGGUGAAAUUCGUAGAUAUUCGGAAGAACACCAGUGGCGAAGGCGACUCACUGGCCCGUUACUGACGCUGAGGCGCGAAAGCGUGGGGAGCAAACAGG
rnacentral:rRNA from 1 species